rnacentral:ncRNA from 1 species
AUCGUGCUCCGGGACCCGGUGAAAAUCCGAACCUGCGGUGACAGCCCGCUAAUUGACGGCACAUCCACGUGCCCGAUACCUGCAAGGUGAAAUUCCUUGGCAGACAGUACAGUCUGGAUGGAAGGUAGCACGAG